rnacentral:rRNA from 1 species
AUUGAACGCUGGCGGCAGGCCUAACACAUGCAAGUCGAGCGAGCGGCGGACGGGUGAGUAAUGUAUGGGGACUGCCUGAUCGAGGGGGAUAACUACUGGAAACGGUGGCUACUACCGCAUACUAUCCGAUGACCCAUAGUGGAUUAGCGAGUAGGUGGGGUAAAGGCUCACCUAGGCGACACUGUCUAGCUGGUCUGAGAGGCUGAUCAGCCACACUGGGACUGAGACACGGCCCAGACUCCUACGGAGGCAGCAGUGGGGAAUAUUGCACAAUGGGCGCAAGCCUGAUGCAGCCAUGCCGCGUGUAUGAAGAAGGCCUUAGGGUUGUAAAGUACUUUCAGCGGGGAGGCGUUACCCGCAGAAGAAGCACCGGCUAACUCCGUGCCAGCAGCCGCGGUAAUAC